rnacentral:rRNA from 1 species
CUUAAUUGGGCGUUAAGUUGCAGGGUAUAGACCCGAAACCCGGUGAUCUAGCCAUGGGCAGGUUGAAGGUUGGGUAACACUAACUGGAGGACCGAACCGACUAAUGUUGAAAAAUUAGCGGAUGACCUGUGGCUGGGGGUGAAAGGCCAAUCAAACCGGGAGAUAGCUGGUUCUCCCCGAAAGCUAUUUAGGUAGCGCCUCGUGAAUUCAUCUCCGGGGGUAGAGCACUGUUUCGGCUAGGGGGCCAUCCCGGCUUACCAACCCGAUGCAAACUGCGAAUACCGGAGAAUGUUAUCACGGGAGACACACGGCGGGUGCUAACGUCCGUCGUGAAGAGGGAAACAACCCAGACCGCCAGCUAAGGUCCCAAAGUCAUGGUUAAGUGGGAAACGAUGUGGGAAGGCCCAGACAGCCAGGAUGUUGGCUUAGAAGCAGCCAUCAUUUAAAGAAAGCGUAAUAGCUCACUGGUCGAGUCGGCCUGCGCGGAAGAUGUAACGGGGCUAAACCAUGCACCGAAGCUGCGGCAGCGAACGUAUCACCCAAGACAACUUUACGGAGUUGACGAUUGACGGAGCGAAGCGACGUCAAAGCGUUCAUUAAAGUCGAGUUGGCUUAGGGAUACGUUCGUUGGGUAGGGGAGCGUUCUGUAAGCCUGUGAAGGUGUGUCGUGAGGCAUGCUGGAGGUAUCAGAAGUGCGAAUGCUGACAUAAGUAACGAUAAAGCGGGUGAAAAGCCCGCUCGCCGGAAGACCAAGGGUUCCUGUCCAACGUUAAUCGGGGCAGGGUGAGUCGACCCCUAAGGCGAGGCCGAAAGGCGUAGUCGAUGGGAAACGGGUUAAUAUUCCCGUACUUGGUGUUACUGCGAAGGGGGGACGGAGAAGGCUAUGUUGGCCGGGCGACGGUUGUCCCGGUUUAAGCGUGUAGGUGUGUGUUCCAGGUAAAUCCGGUUCACUUUAACACUGAGGCGUGACGACGAGGCACUACGGUGCUGAAGCAACAAAUGCCCUGCUUCCAGGAAAAGCCUCUAAGCAUCAGGUAACACGAAAUCGUACCCCAAACCGACACAGGUGGUCAGGUAGAGAAUACCAAGGCGCUUGAGAGAACUCGGGUGAAGGAACUAGGCAAAAUGGUGCCGUAACUUCGGGAGAAGGCACGCUGACACGUAGGUGAAGUGAUUUACUCAUGGAGCUGAAGUCAGUCGAAGAUACCAGCUGGCUGCAACUGUUUAUUAAAAACACAGCACUGUGCAAACACGAAAGUGGACGUAUACGGUGUGACGCCUGCCCGGUGCCGGAAGGUUAAUUGAUGGGGUCAGCGUAAGCGAAGCUCCUGAUCGAAGCCCCGGUAAACGGCGGCCGUAACUAUAACGGUCCUAAGGUAGCGAAAUUCCUUGUCGGGUAAGUUCCGACCUGCACGAAUGGCGUAAUGAUGGCCAGGCUGUCUCCACCCGAGACUCAGUGAAAUUGAACUCGCUGUGAAGAUGCAGUGUACCCGCGGCAAGACGGAAAGACCCCGUGAACCUUUACUAUAGCUUGACACUGAACAUUGAGCCUUGAUGUGUAGGAUAGGUGGGAGGCUUUGAAGUGUGGACGCCAGUCUGCAUGGAGCCGACCUUGAAAUACCACCCUUUAAUGUUUGAUGUUCUAACGUGGACCCGUAAUCCGGGUUGCGGACAGUGUCUGGUGGGUAGUUUGACUGGGGCGGUCUCCUCCUAAAGAGUAACGGAGGAGCACGAAGGUUGGCUAAUCCUGGUCGGACAUCAGGAGGUUAGUGCAAUGGCAUAAGCCAGCUUGACUGCGAGCGUGACGGCGCGAGCAGGUGCGAAAGCAGGUCAUAGUGAUCCGGUGGUUCUGAAUGGAAGGGCCAUCGCUCAACGGAUAAAAGGUACUCCGGGGAUAACAGGCUGAUACCGCCCAAGAGUUCAUAUCGACGGCGGUGUUUGGCACCUCGAUGUCGGCUCAUCACAUCCUGGGGCUGAAGUAGGUCCCAAGGGUAUGGCUGUUCGCCAUUUAAAGUGGUACGCGAGCUGGGUUUAGAACGUCGUGAGACAGUUCGGUCCCUAUCUGCCGUGGGCGCUGGAGAACUGAGGGGGGCUGCUCCUAGUACGAGAGGACCGGAGUGGACGCAUCACUGGUGUUCGGGUUGUCAUGCCAAUGGCACUGCCCGGUAGCUAAAUGCGGAAGAGAUAAGUGCUGAAAGCAUCUAAGCACGAAACUUGCCCCGAGAUGAGUUCUCCCUGAGACUUAGAGUCUCCUGAAGGAACGUUGAAGACGACGACGUUGAUAGGCCGGGUGUGUAAGCGCAGCGAUGCGUUGAGCU